GAUUUGAGAGGUUUGAGGGACUUGAUGAGAUAUUUUUCCGGUGACGCAGAGCCGUUCUGACGAAGGGGAUGGGGGGAGCACGUGGGGGAGGUGAUGGAGAGGAUCUUGGGGCAGGAGAAGUCGUAGGUAGCAUAGGGUGGGCGGCCAUGGGUGACGGUGUAGCUAGCGCAGAGAGUAGCCUGAGGGAGAAGGUGGGGGAGUAGGUUGAUGGAGAAGACGUUCUGUCUGGGAAGAAGAACGUG
rnacentral:lncRNA from 1 species